rnacentral:rRNA from 1 species
UCGAGAAUCUUCGGCAAUGGACGAAAGUCUGACCGAGCGACGCCGCGUGCGGGAUGAAGGCCCUCGGGUUGUAAACCGCUGUCAGUAGUUAGGAAAUCCAUGAGGGUUAUCUCUCAUGGUUGACCGAUCUUCAGAGGAAGGACGGGCUAAGUUCGUGCCAGCAGCCGCGGUAAGACGAACCGUCCAAACGUUAUUCGGUAUCACUGGGCUUAAAGCGUGCGUAGGCGGCUUGGUAGGUGAGAUGUGAAAGCCCACGGCUCAACCGUGGAAUUGCGUUUCAAACCCCCAAGCUCGAGGAAGAUAGGGGUGAUGGGAACUUAUGGUGGAGCGGUGAAAUGCGUUGAUAUCAUAGGGAACACCGGUGGCGAAAGCGCAUCACUGGAUCUUUUCUGACGCUGAGGCACGAAAGCUAGGGUAGCGAACGGG